GACGAACGCUGGCGGCGUGCCUAAUACAUGCAAGUUGAGCGAUGAAGCUUGGUGCUUGCCCCAAUUUGAAGAGCAGCGAACGGGUGAGUAACGCGUGGGGAAUCUGCCUUUGAGCGGGGGACAACAUUUGGAAACGAAUGCUAAUACCGCAUAACAACUUUAAACAUAAGUUUUAAGUUUGAAAGAUGCAAUUGCAUCACUCAAAGAUGAUCCCGCGUUGUAUUAGCUAGUUGGUGAGGUAAAGGCCCACCAAGGCGAUGAUACAUAGCCGACCUGAGAGGGUGAUCGGCCACAUUGGGACUGAGACACGGCCCAAACUCCUACGGGAGGCAGCAGUAGGGAAUCUUCGGCAAUGGACGAAAGUCUGACCGAGCAACGCCGCGUGAGUGAAGAAGGUUUUCGGAUCGUAAAACUCUGUUGGUAGAGAAGAACGUUGGUGAGAGUGGAAAGCUCAUCAAGUGACGGUAACUACCCAGAAAGGGACGGCUAACUACGUG
rnacentral:rRNA from 1 species